rnacentral:rRNA from 1 species
UACAGGGGGUGCAAACGUUGCUCGGAAUUAUUGGGCGUAAAGCGCGCGUAGGCGGCUACUUAAGUCGGAUGUGAAAGCCCCUGGCUCAACUGGGGAAGUGCACCCGAAACUGAGUGGCUUGAGUACUAAAGAGGGUCGCGGAAUUCCCGGUGUAGAGGUGAAAUUCGUAGAGAUCGGGAAGAACAUCGGUGGCGAAAGCGCUCUACUGGACGGUGACUGACACUCAGGGACGAAAGCUAGGGGAGCGAAUGGG